UGUCGUUUCACUUUCACCUUGAUUUUUCGAUAUAUUAAAUGUCUCCCCGUUUUCAUUUUGGGCUCAUCUUGAAUCUAGACAUAAUUUCAUAUUUUCAUAUACUCAUAAAACCUUACCAUCUUUCGGCUUCCGAAACUUCGAUCUUUCUAAAACUCACGAACGGGUUAUAAAGCAAACCAUUGAUAUAACCACCUUUGCUACAAUCUGAGAUCGGAACCCUUUUCUUUUGUUCGGACAUUACCUCUCCUUUUGUUCGCGCUGGUUCAUUUUGGAGACAACCGAAGUUUACGUAGGACUCUCGUUGUCUCGUUUCAAUAUUAUACGGACUCAGUUUCAUCACUCGCUGACACCCGCGGGACGUUUCUGGAUCAUCGCUGAACCCGCCGGAGGAAUUCAGACGUCGCCGGGAUUAACGUGACUCGCCGGAGAUCGGAGAAGACGACCGGGGAGGAACUCGACGCGGCGUUUCUUUUACGUGUUCGGAUAACCACUUCGUUCUCUUGGAUUAUUCUCCAUCUUUACUCGUGCGUUAUUACAAGAAAUCGCAACGCAACCAAUGUGGAGGAUUGAUGAUGCUAUGAAAACGGACUAGCAUAGAUGCAUAGAUACUCACAUAGACGUCUUAGGUCAAAUACGUUGUAUAAAUUUCAUAUUUGAUGUUGUAUUGUUUUCUUGUAUUUUCAAUGUACUGUAACAUUUAUUUAUGAAUGA